AUGACGUCAUCAUCGAUCAGAAUCUGCAACCUCCAGAAGUUGCUCUCGGAAAGAAGUAUGAGGCGAAAGGAGAUAUUUGGCAGUUUGGAACCUGCCUUGCAGAGAUGUGCAGCUUAGGUGUGCCGUACCAGGCGCAGAAGCAAAUUCCUGCAUCUGGUCUCGAUGAGUUCGACAAGCUCCCUUCGACAUGUGUGCUCCAAGACGCUGCCAAAAAGUGUCUCAAUGCCAGAAAUCGUCCAUCUGCUUCUGAUCUGCGCGGCGUCUUUCAGACAGAUACUGCACGAAACAUCAAAGCAAUGGAUAUUGCAACAAUGGACCAGAUGAAACAGUCAUUGCUCAUUUAG
rnacentral:misc_RNA from 1 species